GGGGCUAACUCACCUGGGCGAGGCGCUGCUUCUAACGCAGGCGUAUUGCGGUUCGAUCCCGCAUAGCUCCACCA
rnacentral:tRNA from 1 species